rnacentral:rRNA from 1 species
AUGAGUAAGUUGCAGAGUGACGCCCUGAGGGAGGCAAUCACAAACAUUAUCAAUGACUGCCGUGAGAAGAACCGCAAGUUCGUUGAAACCAUUGAGCUGCAGAUUGGUCUGAAGAACUAUGACCCGCAAAAGGACAAGCGUUUCAGUGGUUCUGUUAAGCUUCCUCACAUCCCUCGCCCAAAGAUGAGGGUUUGCAUGCUUGGUGAUGCCCAGCAUGUUGAAGAGGCAGGGAAAAUGGGCCUAGACUGCAUGGAUGUGGAAUCUCUUAAGAAGAUGAACAAAAACAAGAAGCUAGUCAAGAAGCUUGCAAAGAAGUAUCAUGCUUUCCUUGCAUCUGAGGCUAUCAUUAAGCAGAUUCCCCGUCUUCUUGGACCUGGUCUUAACAAGGCAGGAAAGUUUCCAACUUUGGUGUCUCACCAGGAAUCCCUUGAGUCCAAGGUUAAUGAGACCAAGGCCACAGUCAAGUUCCAGUUGAAAAAGGUGCUUUGCAUGGGUGUUGCCGUUGGCCACCUGGGUAUGGAGGAGAAGCAGAUCUUCCAGAACGUGCAGAUGAGCGUGAACUUCCUCGUCUCUCUGUUGAAGAAGAAUUGGCAAAACGUGAGAUGCUUGUACCUGAAGAGCACGAUGGGAAAGGUGUACCGGUUGUUCUAG